AAUUAGACGAAAGCUAUAUACAAUACUGCUACACAUAGCAACAAUUACACGAAAUACAUUUGUAACACGAAUUCUUGAGGACAGCCCAAUGCCAUCCGCUACACCUGACUUCGCUCCUCUCCAUUCUCCUGAUCCUGGCUCGACUGACUACCUGCUUUGGUACUGACCCCUGCUUGCCUCCUGGACUUUACUUUUGGUUAUUACUUUAUUUUCUAUUUAUUAAUAAAGGUGUUUUUGCAUCUAGUUCUGUCUCUGUCUAGUUCCUGGUCCCUAACAAUGAGACAGCAUCAACACAACACAUGUUAAAAAUACAGGAUGAAAUUAUGAGAUAUAGAAACAACCUUAUCCGGUUUAAAAGACAAAAAGUGGAACGGGUCCAUUUUGAUCACACCCAUCAUCAAGUAUACC